rnacentral:lncRNA from 1 species
UAUUAUUUUUGAAAUUUGGUUCAGUUCAAAAUCUGUGAGAGACAUAGGUAAGAGCAGAUUAAGAUGCAUCUGUGGGGAGAAGGCCGGUUGAAGACAUUUAGUAUGAAACUGGAGAAGAGGCAUGUUUAAUGAGCUUGGAGAUGAAAGGAAAAAGAAGAGCAGUGUGUGACUGGUGAGCAGAGGGAAUCAGAAAAAGAACGCUUAUGGUGGGAACGUGAGAACUGAGGGAGGAGUGAACAGCAGUUUGCUCGCUCAGGAUGGAAUAACUGAGGCAAACGGAGGAGUCAGAGAAGAGAAAUUCUUAAUGUGUGACAUGGAAGAAAGAAGGGAGUUACAGGAAAGGAAGUGAUAGAAAGCAGAUGUCUUCAUGUAGAAAACUGAUGAGAUCCCAAUGUGGAGAGCGAAGGAGAGGCAGGAAUGGGGUAAGAGUGAGGAUGAGUCAGGGUAGCAAAAAAACCCACUUGAGAUGUCAGGUGUUGUUCUCAAACUGGAAAAUGAGAAUUGCUUAACUAGGAAACUGGAAGAACUGAAGACGGAAAAAAUGAACUUGUAGAAAGACCGCUUGUCUCAGAGCUAGCUCUUUUGGAGUAGGUGAGAGGCAAAAGAGAAGAAUGAAGGGUGAAGCCAGGAGAAAAUAAACAACGGUGCUUGAGAUAGAAGGAGAAAGGAAAGAAGAAAUGUGAGAAAAGAGAGGAGAAACUAAUAUUGGUAACUACGGAUGGCCUGGAGUUGUGGAAGGAUUGAAUGACAAAGCAUGAGAGAGAAGAGGACCUGAAAUACCAAGAUCUGAUUAUGGGAUCUAAUCUUCCAGCCAUUGGCAGCAGUAGUUACAGAGCUCUGGAUCAGGAGAGGAACAUGGGAAAGGAUUUGUGCUGCUUUUCCACCCUUCUGAAGCAGAUAGCAUCAUGUCUUUCUGGUUGUGAGACCCACCUUGAAGAAAUCCUGUCAGCAUAUGCACGUGCCAAACUAUCAAUGAGCUCAGAAAAAAGCGUAUGGGGCUGCAAAAUGUUGCUAGAUUGAGACUGUUGUUGCUUGAAAAAGAC